AACGAACGCUGGCGGCAGGCUUAACACAUGCAAGUCGAGCGCCCCGCAAGGGGAGCGGCAGACGGGUCAGUAACGCGUGGGAACGUACCCUUUGCUACGGAAUAGCUCCAGGAAACUGGAAUUAAUACCGUAUGUGCCCUACGGGGGAAAGAUUUAUCGGCAAAGGAUCGGCCCGCGUUGGAUUAGCUAGUUGGUGGGGUAAUGGCCUACCAAGGCGACGAUCCAUAGCUGGUCUGAGAGGAUGAUCAGCCACAUUGGGACUGAGACACGGCCCAAACUCCUACGGGAGGCAGCAGUGGGGAAUAUUGGACAAUGGGCGCAAGCCUGAUCCAGCCAUGCCGCGUGAGUGAUGAAGGCCUUAGGGUUGUAAGGCUCUUUCACCGGAGAAGAUAAUGACGGUAUCCGGAGAAGAAGCCCCGGCUAACUUCGUGCCAGCCGCCGCCGUAAUAC
rnacentral:rRNA from 1 species